ACCUACAUCCCACAGGUAGGAGACCAGAGGGCUGGGAGAUAGAGUCCGAGGUCCUUGACAAGGCUUGGCCCCCACUCUCUUCUUAUUCGUGAGCGCCUGCUUCCUCCUGUGUCACCUAGAAGAUCUCUUCCCAGUUUUAACUUUCUAGGGACUCCAUCACCUUCCCCUCCAGCAGCCUCCCCUCCUGGCCCCACCCUGGGUGAGGUCACUUCUAUGGGCUGCCCUUAGCCAACUCCACCCUGCCCUGCCCGGAGGCUUUCUAGUUACUGCAGGGUGGAAGGGAUAGGAGUCAGGCACAGCCCUGUUCCUCCUGGCGGGCAUGGGAGGGGGGAUCGGGGAUGGAAACCAAUUUCUAGGGUCUUCCAAGUAAACUACAGACUCCAGGAGCUGUGGACCAGAUCCAGGACUAGGAUGAGGACCCUUAAUGGCGUUCUGGAAUCCUGAAAAGCAGCCCCCAGAGGCUAGUGGAACAGCCCGGGGAGAAAUGCAGAAUGAGGAAGUUCAUCGCCUGGUCUCUAGGUGUGCUGCCCUCAAGCCUGAGACUGGGCAGAUGCCACGACCUCCCUUCUGCCCAGCCCCAAGCGGUCUGCCUGGCUCCAACCACAGGGCAGCACGGGUAAACUGGAAGUGAGCUGUUGUGUGCAAGUGUGGGUGGGGGGCAGGGAGCACAGAGAAGAGCACUGGGACUCCUAGUCUGCCUGGCACACCGAGUCACUUAGCCAUGCUGUGACCUGCCGGGGACCAGCUCUUCUUCAGCAGUGACAGAGCCAGAUCAAAGGGGACCUCAGCUACAGCAGGAGGGAUUUAGAUAAGCUAGCAAAAAGAACUUCCUGCCUGCAAAGAUUGUUAAGCCCUGGAAAGGGGAGCCUGGGAGUCUGUGGAAUCUUUUUGCUCCGAAAUCAUAGUCACUGGUAUCACUGUGGCUUCUUCCGUCCCGUGUCUGAUAAGGACAAACAAACCCUAACAUUUUUUGAGAA